UGGGGAAUUUUGGACAAUGGGCGAAAGCCUGAUCCAGCAAUGCCGCGUGUGUGAAGAAGGCCUUCGGGUUGUAAAGCACUUUUAUCAGGAGCGAAACGCUGUCGGCUAAUACCCGGCGGAACUGACGGUACCUGAGGAAUAAGCACCGGCUAACUUCGUGCCAGCAGCCGCGGUAAUACGAAGGGUGCAAGCGUUAAUCGGAAUUACUGGGCGUAAAGCGUGCGUAGGCGGUUUCUUAAGUCUGCUGUGAAAUCCCCGGGCUCAACCUGGGAAUGGCAGUGGAUACUGGGAGGCUAGAGUGUGUCAGAGGGUGGUGGAAUUCCCGGUGUAGCGGUGAAAUGCGUAGAGAUCGGGAGGAACAUCAGUGGCGAAGGCGGCCACCUGGGACAACACUGACGCUGAGGCACGAAAGCGUGGGGAGCAAACAGGAUUAGAUACCCUGGUAGUCCACGCCCUAAACGAUGCGAACUGGAUGUUGGUCUCAACUCGGAGAUCAGUGUCGAAGCUAACGCGUUAAGUUCGCCGCCUGGGGGAGUACGGUCGCAAGACUGAAACUUAAAUGAAUUGACGGGG
rnacentral:rRNA from 1 species